rnacentral:rRNA from 1 species
CUGCUGCCUUCCGUAGGAGUCUGGGCCGUGUCUCAGUCCCAAUGUGGCCGGCCAACCUCUCAGUCCGGCUACUGAUCGUCGCCUUGGUGGGCCGUUACCCCGCCAACCAGCUAAUCAGACGCGAGUCCAUCUCAGAGCGAUAAAUCUUUGAUAUCCAGAGCCAUGCGACCCAGAUAUAUUAUGCGGUAUUAGCAGCUGUUUCCAGCUGUUAUUCCCCACUCCAAGGCAGGUUACU